GCAGCCCCUCCAAGAUCAAGAUCCUUGGGGAAGCACACGAUAAAAACACGCCAGCGUGGGCUGAGAAGGAGCCCACUUUGUGCUUAUCUUCUCGGCAACGAGAGGUCUGGAGAUCCGCGUUGGGGACGACGGAGGGUGCUCGGCACAUCAGCUCACACAGGGCCUCUGGGAAGGACCACAGCCCAUCCUCCAUGCAGGUCAAGUUGCUGUUGUUUCCUGAGCAGAACAGAGAGCAAAGUUACCAAUGUUCAGCAAGGCUGCAUGUCUUGGAAUGUCACUGGAGCCAUCAUGUACCAAAAGCCACCUCAGCUGGUUUGACAAAUUCAGCUGUGGAUGUCCUAUGCAUUUUCUCUUCCUAGGCAAUGGCAUUGAAUCAUUAAAUACUCUGUUUUCAGCUGACAGGCAGACAGUGCUCGUUUCAGGAGAUGCUAUAGCACAGGGAAAACACACUGGCUUUGUCAUCUUCUGCGCUUCUCUUCCUUAGUCUGUUCUUCUCUGAAAGGAAGCUUGCUUCAUACAUCAACCCUCUCCUCUCCAAAGGAACAGCAUUAACAGGGGCUUUGGUGCCAUUACAUUCUUCACUCUGUUUCUGUGUUCUCUCUCUUCCCUGAAUCUGUCUUUUUUUAUUUCAAUUUUGAGCCUUUUGGAGCAGCAUCUGCUAGUAUUAGAGUCACUACUCCAGCACAAUGAGGAGCCAUUCUCAGCUGGGGACUCUCAGUCCUUGGGGACUACUGUGAUAAAUACGAUUCAUAAUACUCAUUAGAGACUCAUUUUUCUCAGGAAGCUUUCUUGGCCAGCACCUCAAAGGUAAAAGGUACAAUAGAUCUAUUUGCCUCUGCUAUGACCUACUUGAUUUCAGAAGGUGAAGCUAAAAGUAGCCUAG